GGAGGCAUGAGCCACUGAGCCACCAGCUCUGAGGUGACAUGGAAAGGGGAAGGAAUGCCAUUGGUGGUCCUUAUUGUGGGCCAGUCAAGAGGGUGUUCUAGCAGGUUCCAAGAAGCCUACUGGUAGGAGUCUGCAGGCAAUGAGGAAAGAGCCAGGCUUCCCCAGGAGCCAAGCCUGGGUUUGAAUCAUCUCUCUGCGAUUUCCUGCUCUUCGGCUUAAGUCACGCGGCUCCGAGCCUGUUUGCUCUUCUGUAAGGUGGUGGGAAUAGCUGCACUGUGUAGGGGGGUGGCAAGGAGCACCGCACCUCGAGAUAAGGUGGCCGCUGAGCUUGGCUACAGAAUCCAUAAGUGACUGUUGCCGAUUCCUUCCCCACAGUACAGCACUGGGGGCAUGCCAAGAUGGAGAGCCGGGUGGAAUGGCAAGAAUCGUGGGGCUUGGGAAACAGAUGACCCAGUCACCAAGGGCAGUUGCAGGUUCCCAGCCAAACCCUGCACAUGAGCUGGGGCUUCGUCAGCAACAAAAGAACAAUACCCUUCCUAAAGGGCCAGGCCGCGGCGUGAGCCUCCCUCCCCCAAUUCCCAGUUCCCACCACUGGGCAGCCCCAGUGCCCUUCCACCCACAGGCCCCUUCAGGACAGCUCCAGGGCCCAUGGCGCCCUCUACUUGAGUGAGUGGUCACUGUACCCUCUGAAGAUGGACGCUCCCGCUGGGAGAUUUCAUUCUGUUCAGCUGCCAACACCAUCUCCGCCCUUGCUAUUGCUUCUGGAAGAUUAUUCUUAAAGAGGGGAAAGAGAAGGAGAAGGAACUUCAAAGACUCUUGCAUCCCCCACCUCCCUGACUUCCACGGGUUGAAGUGCAUCUCUCAGGCCCCGGCUGUGGCCAGGCCAAGGGCGGCUGGAAUCCAGCCCAGCUUUUACCAAUAAUUUGCUGUGUGACCUUAAGUACCCUCUCUGGGCUUUCUUGCUUUCAUUUGUAAAGAGAGGGGUUUUCAGACCACCUCUGAAGUCUCAUCAUGCCCUCUAAGUGAUGCACUCAUUGAUUCUUGGGUUCAUGCAUGCCUCUUAUCCCUUCCUCACGGUUUGUUUACUGUCUGUCCUUAUUCCACUCCAGA
rnacentral:lncRNA from 1 species